rnacentral:lncRNA from 1 species
CAAUGCUACACCUCUCCGUUCUCUGUCCAUCUCUCCAAUCGAAGCCAACUCUUCUCCACUACAGCCUCUUGGUUCUCUGAAAGCCUUCUCUCUCUGUAAAACCCCAAGGAAUAAAGCUGCUGUGAAACCGCCAUCUCACACCAUAACACCUGUUUCCACAACCUCAAGAGGCUCUAAACAGAUUCCACCUGCUGCACAGGUUGAGCUGAGUCCAGUCCACUCAUUCCUUACCCUGGAGGAUUCCACCCAGCCCUCCCCACGCAUCCCUCCAGACCUCCAGGAGGAGCAGAGAGGUGUCAUGAACAAAACCAGCCCAACAUCAUUUGAAAGGAGGUCUGUCAUCUCUGUGACAAUGAGCCAAUCCUCUCACAUAUCUGUGAGCAACAUGGCCCUGAUGUGCACUGAGCUAGAGGCCCCAAUACUAAACCGCUGGUGA